GACGAACGCUGGCGGCGUGCUUAACACAUGCAAGUCGAACGGAAAGGCCCUGCUUUUGUGGGGUGCUCGAGUGGCGAACGGGUGAGUAACACGUGAGUAACCUGCCCUUGACUUUGGGAUAACUUCAGGAAACUGGGGCUAAUACCGGAUAGGAGCUCCUGCUGCAUGGGGGGUGUUGGAAAGUUUCGGCGGUUGGGGAUGGACUCGCGGCUUAUCAGCUUGUUGGUGGGGUAGUGGCUUACCAAGGCUGUGACGGGUAGCCGGCCUGAGAGGGUGAGCGGCCACAUUGGGACUGAGAUACGGCCCAGACUCCUACGGGAGGCAGCAGUGGGGAAUAUUGCACAAUGGGCGGAAGCCUGAUGCAGCAACGCCGCGUGCGGGAUGACGGCCUUCGGGUUGUAAACCGCUUUCGCCUGUGACGAAGCGUGAGUGACGGUAAUGGGUAAAGAAGCACCGGCUAACUACGUGCCAGCCGCCGCAGUAA
rnacentral:rRNA from 1 species